GCUCCGGUGGUGUAGCCCGGUCAAGCAUGGCGGCCUUUCGAGCCGUCGAUCGCGGGUUCAAAUCCCGCCCGGAGCA
rnacentral:tRNA from 1 species